UUGCUUCAGCAGCACAUAUACUAAAAUUGGAACGAUACAGAGAGAAUUAGCAUGGCCCCUGUGCAAGGAUGACAUGCAAAUUCAUGAAGCAUUACAUAUUAAA
rnacentral:snRNA from 1 species